rnacentral:rRNA from 1 species
UACAGAGGAGCCAAGCGUUGUCCGGAUUGACUGGGCGUAAAGCGCACGCAGGCGGUUGCGCGCGUGGGGGGUGAAAUCUGGCCGCUUAACGGCCAGGCGCCAUCCCAUACGGCGCGACUGGAGCGAUGCAGAGGUCGGUGGAAUUGCCGGUGUAGUGGUGGAAUGCGUAGAUAUCGGGGGGAACACCAGUGGCGAAGGCGGUUGCCUGGGGCUUUGCUGACGCUGAUGCGCGAAAGCGUGGGGAGCGAUCCGG